rnacentral:rRNA from 1 species
AAACCAGCACCUCAAGUGGUCAGGAUGAUUAUUGGGCCUAAAGCAUCCGUAGCCUGUUCUGUAAGUUUUCGGUUAAAUCUGUACGCUCAACGUACAGGCUGCUGGGAAUACUGCAGAACUAGGGAGUGGGAGAGAUAGACGGUACUCGGGAGGAAGUGGUAAAAUGCUUUGAUCUCUCGAUGACCACCUGUGGCGAAGGCGGUCUACCAGAACACGUCCGACGGUGAGGGAUGAAAGCUGGGGAGCAAACCGGAUUAGAAACCCCGGUAGUCC